ACCUAACAGUGCACGCAUUCCCUCCGGGUUUUAGUGCGAGCUGGCGAGGCUGGAGGACGGCUCGCUGCUGCACCGUGGUGGCUGCGAGAAGCAGCGCGCUAGAGCAGCUGGGGAUGCUCAUGGAUUCCGUGUGCGACAAGUUAGGCAAAAGGAAAGGCUAGGGACAGGGAAUGGUCUGUGACACAGAAAACGACCCUUCAGUCUCAACAGCACACAAACGGUGGCGGAUCAGCUGAAACAAAAGACCGGAGGACUAAAGCCAGAACACUGUGUCUCCAGACUGGCUCGCUUUUCAUCUCUGAGGACACGCCCCUCUGAACCCAUUUAAGAAACUAUCACUACCGGGGCUUUCAGAGGAGGGCAAAAUGGGAAUGGCUUUUGGUAUAACUCUAAGACUCCUUUCCUCAUCUACCUCACAGGGCAAAGAGCGGGGACACGCGGUGGACAGAAAGGAGAGUGGAGAGUGAGCAGGGCGAAUAAAGCUGGGCAGGUAUGAGGAGGGUUCAGAUGGCAGAAAAGGUGCAGGAUGCAGAGCAAUGGUGGGCGGGUGCGAGGGGUGGGGUCGGCAGACCGCGGAGCACGUGCGGGCAGAGAUGCCGCUGGGGAGCUGGGCAGGGGCUGGGCAGGGGCUGAGGCUGGUAGCGGAAAAAGGAACGGGGAGGUGGGCAGGUAGACAGCAGGCCGUGGGAGGUCACCUUUGAUGUAGACAUCGUCGUCGGCGCGCAUGAACCACUCGUACUUGUCCAGAUCAAGGCUGAAUUGGUUUCAAUUGUGUGAAGCAACUGUGGCAUCUAGUGGUUAAUAAUCAUAAUGAUUACCCAGGCCCCUAGACACUGAUUAAGCAAAAAUUCACUAAACUACCACCAGAAUGAGCCACAUACUGUCACACCUGCAGCUCUCCUGAGGCUCUUCAAUGUCAUACAGCACACAGCCACAUGUCUUCUGAAUUAAAGAUACCUAUGACUCCCUGCAGAGUGAUAAGCCUGAGCUAUGGAACUGACAUAGUGUGGCAGAGACAAGCAACUUAGAAUCACCGACUGAGUGCUGACUGCCUGCAAACAAAGGAGCUCUGCUGGGACACAAAUACCAGACUGUGACUUACGUAAAGGAUACAUACUAAGCUGUGACUUACUAGAUGCAGAACUGAGGAGCAAAGAGGUUACCCAGAUGUCUUCACCAUGGAUAUUCUCUCAUGACCUGUCUCAGACCAUUUUUCCUAAGAACUCUGCUAAUGGAAUGGAGGAGUCCAAAGUAGGUUCAAAUGAAGAGAGAUGAAAUCAGAAACAGCGUAAAAGACAAUCCUUCUAGCAUAUUUUCCUAUAAAGAUAAAAAGGAAACACCCUCCUACUUGGAUAUCUUAUUAGGAUGGAAGAAAUAAUAGUGUAAUUAUUUACACAUUGAGUGAGGCCAAAGAGAAAUAAAAAGAUUUGGGUCAUAAAUAGUAAUAGAAGUUUAAGCACAGCAUCUGGGAAAGAUGCAUGUUAACAGGCAGAUGUGGAAAGAACUUGAUGUUUUCUUCUGCUUGAAGAGAAAAUACAAAUUACUCAUGCAGUAUAAUGAAUAAGUAAAUGGACAUGAGGAAUACGUCGUGACUGCCUGGCAACCACGAGGGUCUACUUGAGAUUACUAGUCAUGUUCUAAAAGUGAGAUAUGUAAGCAAGGUUGUGUAAUUUUUCCUUAGCUACUUUUGACUGCCGAGAGUUGGAAUUGACCUGACUGGUGCUAUAACCAACUAAAAGAGUUGAAAGAUAGAAGUUAUUUUGUGGGAAGUGGGUAUCAUUGGUAAUGAAAUUUAAGCUAGGUGCUUAGAUCACAGAUUUGAAAGUCUUAGCAGUAUUAUAGGAUUGAUGUAGAGGAACUACAAGGAGUAAGCUAGAGAGAUACAUCAUCAGAGAGGAACAUUUUCUGAACUGACAUUAUGAAAUAUUGCAGUAAUUUUUUAGUGACCAGAUCAAGGAGCCGCUAAGAAUGUGUGAUGGAACAGUGGGAAAAAUAUCAGAAAUAAGAAAAGUAGACUAUUGUGUGGAUCAUUUGUGUGAGUGUAGACCUUGUCAAGAAGCAUAGCAAGAGAUUUACAGUUGUAAAGCAUCAAAUAUUCAGAGAACCGAAGACAAUAUUCCAGCAGCAAUCAAUGAAAACAAUAAAAUAGCCCAGACAUUGCACAGCCUGAGAGCGUAAGAUGGAAAACUGGAAAAUGAAUGUUCUAUCAAACAGCAGUAAGGUCUGCAGAGGACUCUGAUUCAUAUCUGUAUGCCACUGUCCAGUACUGGUCAUGAAAGCAGCUGAGGGAAAUAGAGAGAGAAGUGUCCUCAACUGAAGCUAAUAUAACAUAGAGCAAAAGCUAAGUAAGUGCUUGGAGAAAUAGAGGGCAAAAUGGUAGAUACUUUUGCAAAAAUAUUUUAAUUCCAAGAAGGUAUACCUAACAACCUCCAAAAGCCAUGGGACAUAAAAGAUGAUCAGAAAAAGCACCACACAGAGGCCUUUGGAGGUUGGAAUGCACAUGAGUGAGACAUGAUGGGAGUUGACCCAGCCUCUCCUUGUGGGAGUUUCUAUGCCUGAGGAUGUGGAUGUGGUGAGAUCAGACCCAGGGCUCCAAGCAGGCAGAAGAAAAAGCUGAAUGUUUGGAAGGAUGGCAGGAGACUCUCCAGCCCCAAGCAGGGUUUUUAAAGACCUCAACUUGACUUCUGCUGCUGGAAGUGUAAAAUCUCACUGUGUCACAAUUUUCCUGGAGGCUUAAGGCAUGCUCUGUGUACAGAAGGUGAUCUUUUCUUUCUUUUUUUUAAAAUCGGUACUGAGGAUGGAACGCACGACUGCCUGCUUGCAAGGCAGGUGCUUAUGCUGCUGAGCUAAAUCCCCAGCCACCAGAAGGGUGAUCUUACUUUGUCCUCACAAGCUAUCCUUAACUCUUACUGACAGUGGUAGUAGGAUACAUUUAAUAAUAUGAAUGUCCUCCUUUAAAAUGCAUAUGUAGGCUGAUGCUGUGUCUCAUGACUGUAAUCCCAACAGGAGGCAGGAGAAUCCUGGUGAGUCUGCUAGCUUUGGCUGUGCAGUGAGGUCAAGGUCAGCCUGAACUACACAGACAGACUUUAUCUCGCAGAACUAAAUAGAAAAAGAAAAUUUGUAUAUAUGAGCAUGUGGCAAAAUAGCUCAUCUCUUUGGUAGCAGUUCGUCAAAUAUUAAACUACAAGAGUAAAAGUGGCAAGAAUAC